GUGUGUGUGUGUGUGUGUGUGUGUGUGUGGUGUGUGUGUGUGUGUAUUAUUAUNNNNNNNNNNNNNNNNNNNNUAUAUAUAUAUAUAGUGUGUGUGUGUGUGUGUGUGUGUGUGUGUGGGUGUGUGUGUGUGUGUAUUUAUAUGUGUGUAUGUGUGUGUGUGUAUGUAUGUAUGUGUGUGUGUGUGUGUGUGUGUGUGUGUGUAUGUGUGUGUGUGUGUAUAUAUAUACAGUUUAAAAUUUGAUAAUUAAAAAAUUAAAUUUAAAAUUAUGGAUUAUAUUCACUGAUUGAUUUUAAAAUUUAAUAAUAAAUAAUCUAUUUUCGGAUUUUAUCUGAUCAAGAUAUAUUGUGCUGGAUCAGUUUACUUUUAUCCUUCAAAAUGGGCUCAAAAAAUCAAUAACCAUGUUUGGA
rnacentral:lncRNA from 1 species